GAUGAACGCUGGCGGCGUGCCUAAUACAUGCAAGUCGAGCGAACAGACGAGGAGCUUGCUCCUCUGACGUUAGCGGCGGACGGGUGAGUAACACGUGGAUAACCUACCUAUAAGACUGGGAUAACUUCGGGAAACCGGAGCUAAUACCGGAUAAUAUAUUGAACCGCAUGGUUCAAUAGUGAAAGACGGUUUUGCUGUCACUUAUAGAUGGAUCCGCGCCGCAUUAGCUAGUUGGUAAGGUAACGGCUUACCAAGGCAACGAUGCGUAGCCGACCUGAGAGGGUGAUCGGCCACACUGGAACUGAGACACGCUCCAGACUCCUACGGGAGGCAGCAGUAGGGAAUCUUCCGCAAUGGGCGAAAGCCUGACGGAGCAACGCCGCGUGAGUGAUGAAGGUCUUCGGAUCGUAAAACUCUGUUAUUAGGGAAGAACAAAUGUGUAAGUAACUAUGCACGUCUUGACGGUACCUAAUCAGAAAGCCACGGCGAACUACGU
rnacentral:rRNA from 1 species